GACGAACGCUGGCGGCGUGCUUAACACAUGCAAGUCGAACGAAGUGGCGAACGGGUGAGUAACGCGUAAUCAACCUGCCCUUCACAGGGGGACAACAGUUGGAAACGACUGCUAAUACCGCAUACUGAAGGAGGGGAUUGCGUCUUAUUAGCGCGUUGGAGUGGUAACGGCCCACAAAGGCGAUGAUCAGUAGCCGGUCGGAGAGGAUGACCGGCCACAUUGGGAGUGAGACACGGCCCAGACACCUACGGGAGUCCGCGGUGGGGACUCUUCCGCAAUGGACGAAAGUCUGACGGAGCAACGCCGCGUGAGUGCUGACGGCCUUCGGGUUGUAAAGCUCUGUUAAUCGGGACGCGGUACCGAAAUGGAAAGCCACGGCUAACUACGUGCCAGCAGCCGCGGUAAUAC
rnacentral:rRNA from 1 species